UACGUAGGCAGCAAGCGUUGUUCGGAGUUACUGGGCGUAAAGGGUGUGUAGGCGGUUGUUUAAGUUUGGUGUGAAAUCUCCCGCUCAACCGGGAGGGUGCGCCGAAUACUGAAUAACUAGAGUGCGGGAGAGGAAAGUGGAAUUCCUGGUGUAGCGGUGAAAUGCGUAGAUAUCAGGAGGAACACCGGUGGUGUAGACGGCUUUCUGGACCGUAACUGACGCUGAGACACGAAAGCGUGGGAGCAAACCAGG
rnacentral:rRNA from 1 species